ensembl:lincRNA 1700128E19Rik RIKEN cDNA 1700128E19 gene
AGACACUUGUGGAACACUUUGAUAAAACAGCUCGUCCACUAUAAACCAUUGAGGAAGGCUCAGCCAACUUCAUCGACUAAAUAUGAACCGCAGUAUCCAUCCACAUUGACAGGAGGAGAUAGUUCCACACCAACAAUCAACAUUUAAUUCUUCCUCUCACAUCUUUAUGCCUUUUAAUUCCCUGAAACUUUACCCAUGAUCCCUUACUGCUGUGGAAUACACUUCCCCCACAGUGAACAUUUUUAUCUUAGUCACAAGGUGACAUUUCCCACUUGAGGAUAUGUCUGACCUCUGGGCAAUGGCAGUAGGGGUUUGAGGAUGUCACCUCUGGCCACUUAACAAUAAGCAGUCACGAAGCCCACUCUUUUCAGUGUCUCUGGCUACACUUUCUCUUCCUAGUGAUCACCAACCUGAAAAGAUGGAUACCUGGGCAUGGCUGCCCGUCCCUGCUUGUGCCUUUCUGUGACACUUGAGAACAAGGCUGAGUCCCUAAGGCACCGAGGAAACAUCAGAAGUAGCUGAAACCCCACAGGGGAAUAUCUGAUCCAUCUUGAGCUCAUUACUGGCCGCCAGACAUGAGCAUAGGGUCAUCUUAUGGCUACUCCACCCAUGCAGGAAGGUGCUGAGCUGAUGGAGCAGAACGGAGGGCGGCACCAUUUCAGGCCACAGAGACUGGACCUGGGUUUCUUGGUGGUUGUUGUAUGUGCUAGGGUAGAGCCCAGAUCUACAGCUUGAAGCCCACCCUAAGAAGGCCCAGUGUGAAGGUACCAGGUGCACCCAGGAAGGAUCUUACCUGAACUCCCCACCCCAGGGCUUGCAUGUUGUUUGAGCCCCUCCAUCUGUGGCACAUUGUUAUGGAGGCCUUAACCAACCAAUGCAAGCGGUGACCUACUAGAGAAACAUUUUCCACGCCUGACAUCAGUUUUGCAAGGUUGCAGACUCAAAUUUGACAGUGCAUGAGAACAGGCAAGCUCUGUGCGCCAGAUCAGCAAGAGGCUGCUAUGCCAUCGAGAUCACCAGAUCACCGCCUAUGUAAAGAAGUCAGGGGUGUAGAGCUCACCCCUGAUGCCUCCCCCACCCCCUGCACAGGUGCUCUCUUGGGUGGAGACUCUGUGAUGUGGCCUCAGGAGAAGGGCUUCCCUUGGGCCAGCUCUGACUGGUUUAUGAAGAUCUGUCUUCAGCAGGCAUCACAGACUAACGUCCCCAGAAGCUGAACCCAGUCCUGGGAUCCAAAUCCGUGAGCCUCCUCUUCUAUCCACGUGCUAACCUCUCAUUCUGUCAGGAUGGUCUACUAGCUGAGUCCUCUUGCUGUGCUCAUGGGUAGGUCCUUUCUGAGAUCUAGAGAUGACUGGGUUAGAGAGCCUCUGGGGGUCAGAGGUGCUCCAGCUCCCCCUUAGGAGCAGCCACACAUCUCCCAAAUCCUCCACAGGGUCAUGCCAAGCCUCCAGGUACAGGCCUGCUCCCGUCCUAGCCGAGUCAUUUUCCUUGGCGUGUGCUGUUUCCAAGUCAGCUAAAGUAGCACUGCCAACCCCUGCCUGGACAGAGCGAGUUACCGAUGUGGAAGGAGGGAUGGCGCGCAAUGGAUGUGCAGACCUUUUGCUUUGUGCUAUCCUGGCUCUCCGGGUUCCUGUUGGGCUGGGAGUUCAGUACAGCUGAGGCCAGCAGAGACUCAUGUUGUGUAGCUUCCUCAAACCAUGGUUUAGAAUGUGGGUCCCUAAGCAGCACUGUGUUAGUAGGACUUAGAGAGGACGGUCUGUAGACUUAGCAGGUGCUAACACUGAGGACGCAGGCGUGGAGCAGCUGUGGAGCAGCUGGCCUCGCCCUGGUGCUUCAGCCUCGCCAUCCUGGCCAGGCUCAGGGCUGGGGUUCUGCAUAUUGAGACACCGCUGAGGACAUGCCGUCCACCAGCAAAGUCCCUUGUAAAUCUUGAGCUUUGAUGGAUUUGGGGACAUGUGAGUGUCCCUAUUCUCCCUCUGGUGGACUUGUCAGCUUCUUGCCUAGGUUGGAGGACCCCGAGAGCAGAGAGGCCUUGUGGAAAGGCUAUCCAUCUCUCUGCACCAGGUUUUAUAAUAGCAGACAGUAGGCUUGCUUGGGGGUGUGCUUAGUCAGCAGAGUGCUUGCCUACUAUGCAUGGAGUCCCGAGAUCUGGCUCCAGCACUAUGUAGAGCUGGUAUGGUAGUUCAUGCCUCUAACCCCAGCCCUGGAGAGCAGGAAGAGUCUUGAACUAUGUAAGUAGCAUGACCUUAUCUUAAGCAAGCACUCCCUGUUUCUUGUCUCUUCUUUGAACCGUAUCCCCUGGACCCUGAGCUGAGGGGGUUCUGCCCAGAACUCGGAGCUCCAUUCUGCACUGGUGGUGGUAGGGCAGGUCUCCCUCUACAUACACAUUUGCUAAUGUUGUCUAGACAGACUUGAAAUUAAACUUAGUUCUUGG